UACGUAGGGUCCGAGCGUUGUCCGGAGUUACUGGGCGUAAAGCGCGCGUAGGCGGCUCGUCAAGUCUGGCGUGAAAGCCCCCGGCUCAACCGGGGAGGGUCGUCGGAGACUGGCGAGCUUGAGGGCGGUAGGGGCUGGUGGAAUUCCCGGUGUAGUGGUGAAAUGCGUAGAGAUCGGGAGGAACACCCGUGGCGAAGGCGGCCAGCUGGGCCGGCCCUGACGCUGAGGCGCGAAGGCGUGGGGAGCGAACGGG
rnacentral:rRNA from 1 species